GAGUUUGAUCGUGGCUCAGGACGAACGCUGGCGGCGCGCCUAACACAUGCAAGUCGAGCGGAGUUUUUAAGUGGAAGCUUUCGGGUGGAAAUUUUGAAACUUAGCGGCGGACGGGUGAGUAACACGUGAGCAACCUGCCUUUCAGAGGGGGAUAACGUUUGGAAACGAACGCUAAUACCGCAUGACACCGAGACGUCACAUGGCGAUUCGGUCAAAGGAGCAAUCCGCUGAAAGAUGGGCUCGCGUCCGAUUAGAUAGUUGGCGGGUAACGGCCCACCAAGUCGACGAUCGGUAGCCGGACUGAGAGGUUGAUCGGCCACAUUGGGACUGAGACACGGCCCAGACUCCUACGGGAGGCAGCAGUGGGGGAUAUUGCACAAUGGA
rnacentral:rRNA from 1 species